GUGGCAGCACAUUCACUGAAAUUGGAACUAUACAGAGAAGACUGGCGUGGCACCUGCAUGGGAUGUACACAGCCAUGAAACAUCCAUGUCUUU
rnacentral:snRNA from 1 species